rnacentral:rRNA from 1 species
AGAUAAUACUUGAGACGAUCCAGUUUGUAUUAGUACAAAACGGCCAAUUCAUUCAAUGAAUUGAGAAAUGACAUUCUAAGUGAGUUAGGAUGCCACGACAAUUGUAGAACACACAGUGUUUAACAAGUAACCAAUGAGAAUUUCUGAUCUAUCAAUCAGUUGGUAGUAUCGAGGACUACCAAGAUUAUAACGGAUAACGAGGAAUUGGGGUUCGACAUCGGAGAGGGAGCUUUACAGAUGGCUACCACUUCUAAGGAAGGCAGCAGGCGCGUAAAUUACCCACUUUCGAAUUGAAGAGGUAGUGACGACACAUAACUCUAGAGUUGAGUAAAAUCAAUUCUUGAAGGAAUGAGUAGGAGGUAAAUUCUCCUACGAAAUCAAUUGGAGGGCAAGUCUGGUGCCAGCACCCGCGCUAAUUCAAGCUCAGCUC